AUUUUCUCUUUACAACCAUUUCACACAUUUUUUGAAUGUGUUGCCAAGAAGUUUAAUCUUCCUACAAUGAAUGUCUUUGAUGACAUAAAGACAGAGGUUGAUGAGGAAUAAUAUCUGCUGACAUGACCAGACUUUGGUGUCCUAGAAAUCUUCAUCCCAGAAAGCACAACAAGCCUUGAUGGGCACGUCAGAGUCUGAUGGGACCGCAGUGCUGAUUAGAAAUCCUCCUGAAAAAAAUCAAGCCGAGGAAUGUCAUCUAGUCCAGAUGAUUGAAAAUAUCCUAAAGGGCAGCCCUGGAGGCGAGAAGGUCAUAAAGGAAUACGCUCAAACAAAGUCUUUCGGAUGGCCAAAGACGUGACAUGGUGAAAAUCUUGGUAGCACAUUUAACAACGGAACAUGGAACUUGCCCUUACCCAAGUUUGAAGGAAGAAUGUGCAAAGGAUAUUAUCUCCAUAUUCCCAUGCUUUGCUGACCCCAGGAGCAAGCUUAGUUAUGAGCAUUAUUACAAUGCAGAAGAUAGAAGUGGAUAUUUGGUGUGGAGAAUUAAAACUUUCCAAAAAGAAGCAUCAGAGGGACGGAUAAAACGGCCACGGCAACCACAAACAGGUGCAUGAUUUGCAGAUUGAUCAAGAUUUUGGACUUCUAUUUGGUGAGGCGACCGCUGCAAAGUUGUUGGAGAAGUGGUCUACCAACAUAAAACCUAAGGUCAUUGCACAGACCCGUGACCUCACACAGACUUGUAAGCAUCCAAAAUGCUGAAGCCACUGAAGUUGAAGAUGGUAACUAUUGUGCUUUACAAGUUAUGAAUUCAUGAAGAAUGGCUUUAGAUCUAUAGUUUCAAUUGUAUUCACAAUGUUACCCAUCAGACAUGCAUUAUUCGUAUGCAGCACAGAUUUAAGUAAAUAAUCAGAAUAAAAAUUACCGCUUUCUCUUAACAUUUCUACCUUGACCUUAGUGAUGUUGAAAUGAGGUCAUACAGUUAAACAUUAUUUACUACAUUGUAUACAUGCUUUUGUUAUUUAGAGUCCCAAAUGAAAACAGUUUUAAACUGUAAAUCUUCAACUCACGUACUAGGCCCUUGUGAAAACCCAUCUGAAAGUGCUCUAUUUUUACACACUAAUUUUUUACUUUAUAUACAAAAAAAAUAUUCUUCUUUAGUACUUCUUAAAGAAAAUCUUAAGAACAUCUAAGUAUACUUGUUUGUACUAUUUUGAGACACCAUGAAUAUAAACUUAAUUGUGCUUAAAAUAUAUAUUUAAAAAAUGUAUUUAGGUACUGCUUGUAGUAAACUUAAACCCAUCUUUCAUACAAAAAAGUGGUAAAUAAAUACAUUUUUUAAAUAUAUUUUAAGCACAUUUUAGUUUAUAUUCAUGGUGUCUAAAAAAUAGCACAAUCAUUUUUAAGUUUAUUAAGUACAAAAUUAGUGUGCGAAAAGAGAGCACUUUCAGUACAUUAUUGAAGUGUACUUCUUUUACAGUUUGGUUUUCACAAGGGCCUAGUACAUGAGUUGCAGAUUUACACUUUUAAAUUGUUUUAAUUUGGGACUCUGAUAACAAACGUAUGGUUUAUAUAUUGUAAAUAAAGUUUAAAGGGGACAUAUCAUGAAAAUCUGACUUUUUCCUUGUUUAAGUGCUAUAAUUGGGUCCCCAGGCUUCUAUCAACAGAGAAAAUGUGAAAAAGAUCAACCCAGUAACUUAGUUUUGAUAAACCAUUCUUUGCAAGCAUGUGAAAAAAUAGCUCAUUGAAAUUUGGCUCCCCUUGUGAUGUAAGAAGGGGAUCUUAUAAUAGAUCUUAUAAUAAUACCGCCUCUUAAUCUGCACUAUUCAACCACUGCCAUUUAGUGCAGCUCAUUUGCAUUUAAAAGGACACACCCAACAACUGCACAUUUUUUUCUCACACCUACAAAGUGUAAAUUUUAACAUGUUACAAUAAAUUGUCUAUAUGGUAUUUUGAGCUAGAACUUCACAUACAUGCUCUGGGACAGCAAAUAUUUAUUUGACAUCUUAAAAAAGUCUUGUGAAAUGUCUCCUUUAACUGUAUUAUCUCAUUUCCAGUAUUUUUAGUAGUUUGUUUCUGCUUUGUUUAUUGUACCAUAUUAAUUCAUGUAAUUCUUUAUCUCCUCUGUUGUAUUAUCACUAUUUAUAUUAUUUUAGUGUUGUUUUCAUGAAUUGUAAAAAUGCUGCUUAAAAGAGGCUUGACAAAUAAAAUGUAUAAUAGAUGCUGUUUUUAGCAAGAUAAUAAAAUUUUACUGAAAUUACAGGUUUGUUUCAGACUGAUGUUUUUAAUUUUCGAGCUGUUUGAUAGUAUAACGUGAAUUUUGUAAUUCAGAAGAAUAACUCUGGACAGAGUUGUUUAUUUUUUGUAGUUCACUCAUAAUUGAUGAAAAACAACUCGGGAGGGGAAGUAAAUUGUGGCAGAGUAAAUCUGAAAUUACUCUAAAUAGGGUUAAAUUGUAACGGAGUCAAUU